AACACGUGAGUAACCUGCCCCGGACUCUGGAAUAAGCGCUGGAAACGGCGUCUAAUACCGGAUACGAGACGCAACCGCAUGGUUAGCGUCUGGAAAGUUUUUCGGUCUGGGAUGGACUCGCGGCCUAUCAGCUUGUUGGUGAGGUAAUGGCUCACCAAGGCGACGACGGGUAGCCGGCCUGAGAGGGCGACCGGCCACACUGGGACUGAGACACGGCCCAGACUCCUACGGGAGGCAGCAGUGGGGAAUAUUGCACAAUGGGCGAAAGCCUGAUGCAGCGACGCCGCGUGAGGGAUGACGGCCUUCGGGUUGUAAACCUCUUUCAGCAGGGAAGAAGCGAAAGUGACGGUACCUGCAGAAGAAGCACCGGCUAACUACGUGCCAGCAGCCGCGGUAAUACGUAGGGUGCGAGCGUUGUCCGGAAUUAUUGGGCGUAAAGAGCUUGUAGGCGGUUUGUCGCGUCUGCUGUGAAAAAUCCGGGGCUCACCCCCGGACUUGCAGUGGGUACGGGCAGACUAGAGUGUGGUAGGGGAGACUGGAAUUCCUGGUGUAGCGGUGAAAUGCGCAGAUAUCAGGAGGAACACCGAUGGCGAAGGCAGGUCUCUGGGCCACUACUGACGCUGAGAAGCGAAAGCAUG
rnacentral:rRNA from 1 species